GAUGAACGCUAGCUACAGGCUUAACACAUGCAAGUCGCAGGGUAACGUGAGGGAAGCUUGCUUCCCUUGACGACGACUGGCGCACGGGUGAGUAACGCGUAUCCAACCUUCCCAUGACCACGGGAUAACCCGUUGAAAGACGGACUAAUACCGUAUGACGUCGUUUGCUGACAUCAAAUAACGAUUAAAGGUUUAGCGGUGAUGGAUGGGGAUGCGUCUGAUUAGCUUGUUGGCGGGGUAACGGCCCACC
rnacentral:rRNA from 1 species